rnacentral:tRNA from 1 species
GCUCCUGUAGCUUAAAGGACAGAGUACCAGUUUCCGGAACUGGUGAUGCCAGUUCGAUUCUGGCCGGGAGCA